UACGGAAUGUGCAAACGUUAUUCGGAAUCACUGGGCUUAAAGAGUCCGUAGGCGGCAUGUUAGGUGAGGUGUGAAAGCCCUCGGCUCAACCGAGGAAUUGCGCUCUAAACUACUGUGCUCGAGGGACCUAGAGGUGAGCGGAACUGAUGGUGGAGCGGUGAAAUGCGUUGAUAUCAUCAGGAACACCGGAGGCGAAGGCGGCUCACUGGGGGUCUUCUGACGCUGAGGAACGGAAAGCCAGGGGAGCGAACGGG
rnacentral:rRNA from 1 species